CCUACGGGAGGCAGCAGUGGGGAAUUUUGGACAAUGGGCGAAAGCCUGAUCCAGCAAUGCCGCGUGAGUGAAGAAGGCCUUCGGGUUGUAAAGCUCUUUUGUCAGGGAAGAAACGGUGAGAGCUAAUAUCUCUUGCUAAUGACGGUACCUGAAGAAUAAGCACCGGCUAACUACGUGCCAGCAGCCGCGGUAAUACGUAGGGUGCAAGCGUUAAUCGGAAUUACUGGGCGUAAAGCGUGCGCAGGCGGUUUUGUAAGUCUGAUGUGAAAUCCCCGGGCUCAACCUGGGAAUUGCAUUGGAGACUGCAAGGCUAGAAUCUGGCAGAGGGGGGUAGAAUUCCACGUGUAGCAGUGAAAUGCGUAGAUAUGUGGAGGAACACCGAUGGCGAAGGCAGCCCCCUGGGUCAAGAUUGACGCUCAUGCACGAAAGCGUGGGGAGCAAACAGGAUUAGAUACCCUGGUAGUCCACGCCCUAAACGAUGUCUACUAGUUGUCGGGUCUUAAUUGACUUGGUAACGCAGCUAACGCGUGAAGUAGACCGCCUGGGGAGUACGGUCGCAAGNUUAAAACUUAAAGGAAUUGA
rnacentral:rRNA from 1 species